rnacentral:lncRNA from 10 species
ACUCCAUCUCAAAAAACAAACAUGGUGGCUCACGCCUGUAAUCCCAGCACUUUGGGAGGCCGAAGCAGGUGGAUCACCUGAGGUCAGGAGUUCGAGACCAGCCUGGCCAAGAUGUUUACACCCCGCCACUCCUGAGCACCGCACACCGGCUUCCUCCCAGUCCCUCAUCUGAGAACUCAUGAAGCCACUUGGAAUCCCUCUCUGCUUUGCCUGGCUCAUUCCAUGUCAAUUUCAGAUCUUCACUUCAGGUCAGCUCCAAGGAGGCUAUCCUUGCCCAUCUUCCUAAAAUAGAGCUCUCAAAACCUGGCUGUUUUCCUUCAGAGCACUGGCCUCCAAUUUAAAUCCCAAGUAAGGUACCUGCCGUCGGCAGAUUUGAGCUUUCUUCUUGGACACCUAAUACCCAGAGUCCUCCAGGCUCCGGUAGAUUGCAAAUGACCUGCUUUCUUUCUGUUCCCGGGCGGCAUCGGACCCGUCGGAGAGUAAAUCCCAAGUAAGGUACCUGCCGUUGGCAGAUUUG